rnacentral:rRNA from 1 species
UACGAAGGGGGCUAGCGUUGCUCGGAAUCACUGGGCGUAAAGGGUGCGUAGGCGGGUUUUUAAGUCAGGGGUGAAAUCCUGGAGCUCAACUCCAGAACUGCCUUUGAUACUGAAGAUCUUGAGUUCGGGAGAGGUGAGUGGAACCGCGAGUGUAGGGGUGAAAUUCGUAGAUAUUCGCAAGAACACCAGUGGCGAAGGCGGCUCACUGGCCCGAUACUGACGCUGAGGCACGAAAGCGUGGGGAGCAAACAGG